rnacentral:lncRNA from 1 species
CCGGCGGUGGCCGCUGCUCUUUCGGACCUUCCUGAACUCUGCGGCCUUUUCCUCUCUGCUUCCGUGGUCCCUAUCAUAACGCUACCUGCAUUUCCUUGUCCUUCUCUACCAAACAGCACCUGGAGAUAGGGACAUGGGGUUCGUGCUGCUCACCACUGUCUCCCCAGGGCCUAGCACACAGUAUCGGCGGUCAGGACUUCAAUAUAUCUUUCUGGGGGACACAGUUCAACAAGGCUCAAUGAGGAAAGAACAUUUUGAUUAGUAGGGAACAUCGAGAGCAGAGGCCCCAGGGCUGCACAAGGUGGAUGUCCCUGUCGCUGCCCACUGUUCUCUUGGGACUACACAGAUCCUGGUGCCUAGCAGCUGUGGAAACAGAGUUGGGAGGCAGCCGACCCUCUGGACAUCAGGCCUUUUCAGCUGACCCUGCCCAGCCUGGUGCCAGAGCAGGGCCCUGCCUGCCUGCCCCUCCUCCCUCUUCCUGCCUGGUCCUCAUUCCCACCCACAUCCCAAGAUGGACAAGGACAAUAAAAGCUGUUUCAUAAG